UGUGGUUGUCUUUUAAAGAUAAGUGCAUUUACAAAUAAUACAUCAAAAUACAUCAUGAAUGAUUAUAUCGCAAUAUACUAGUAACUAACUGAUUGAUUUCUUCAUAGUGGUGCAGAGUAACUGACGAAUUAAAUCAAAGUUUUGAGAGGUAAGUGUUAAAUUGCAUUAUAGUUAUACAGAGUAACUGAUGAAUGGAAUUAUAGUCAUGAGAAGAAACUGGUUAAUAACAGCAUAUAUAGUGAUCGGAUUAAUUAAUGAAUUUAAUCAAAAAUUUGAAAUGUACAUGCUAAAUUACAUUAUAGUUGUACAGAGUACCUGAGGAAUUACAUCAUAGUUUUGCAACGUAACUGGCGAAAAGCAUCAUAGUGGUGCAAAGUAACUGAUGAAAAACAUAAUAAUGUUGCAAAAUAGCUGAUGAAUUACAUCAUAUAUGUGCAGGGUAACUAAUGCAUUGCAUCAUAUAUUUGUGCAGUUAACUGUUGAACAACAUCAUAUUAGUGAAGAGUGACUUAUAAAUCAGAUCAUACUUGUGCGAAGUUCAAAUCGUGCUCUUCACCAUGGAGCACGAUUUGUCAAUAAACAACACUCUUAACCUUUGGAAGAAAGACUUACGAUUUAUUAACUCAACACAGAAAACAUGAACUACAUAUCAGUUGAUGCUUUAAUCAUUCAUAUGAAUAACAGGGAAUUAUUAAGUACAUCGUACUUUGGGAAUAAUAUAAGAAGUCCGAAAUAGCAGGGUUUUGACGAUGAAUUUAUCUACGAAAUUAUUAUGCGUGUGUCUGCUGAGUGUUCUUAUCGUGGAGAUCGCGGAAAGCCAGAGAAACAACUGUUGUCGUCGGUGUAGACGAAUGGGAUAUCUGUGUGUCAAAUUCGGAAGGGGAUGCAGGUGUCGGAAUCCGGGAAAUACUGGUCCUAUUCUGGGUAGCGUGCCGAUAAACGAUAUCGAAGACUUUCAGCCGAUUUUUCAAUCCGUUAACGAAAUUAUGGACAUCUGAGUCGGCUCAAUUGAAGGAAUACUCAUAUAAAAUAUGUACAAUCAUCUGACUUCAAAGACAUAACAAAAGUUGCAUAUAGUAUAAGCAUCCGGAUGUCCAAUGUCUGAACAUAGUUUUGAGGUUACUCGAUACUCUAUAGUCGUGCUAUGGAAGUGGAAAAAAGAAUGUGGUGUUUAUCAAAACGGUAUAGAAAAGCAAUUCGGAUUGUUAUGCUAGGCAUGUUUUCAAGAUGUGGUUAUAAACCAAAAUCUAUUUCACGUUUAGAACAUUUACUUAUAUUACUGACUAGUGCUACUUGUUCUGAUAACCAGAAGAUGGUACGAAAUGUAUAAUAUUAACUUUUGCUAUAAUUUUCAUGUGUCUGUCAGUCGUUAUUUCGGUUUUUAUGUAACUGCAUAUGUUCAGCAAUAUAUUUCAGUUUUGUGCAAAGUUACAAAACUCGCUUCUCAUAUUAAGAGUAAACGCCUGGAAAUGAUAUUGUCACCACCUAAACUAUAGUUAUCAUUAAAAAAUAACGACCGAGAAACGACCAAGAAACUAGAUCGACAGUGUGCGGCACUCAUCACUUCGACUUGGAGCGCUGUGAAAGCAAACAUUAUUAUGCAAAUGCCAUAGCAUCAUUUAUAUCUUACCAUUUUCGUCAAAAUUAGAAUAGCAUUAUAUGCUUAUAUAUUGCAAUUUCUGGCAUCCAUGAAUAAACCUUGUUUAUUGUU